rnacentral:rRNA from 1 species
ACGCUCGACACCUACGGGAGGCGGCAGUUGGGAAUAUUGGACAAUGGAGGAAACUCUGAUCCAGUGACGCCGCGUGAAGGAAGGAGGUCUUCGGAUUGUAAACUUAUUUUGUCAGGGAAGAAAAAUGACUGUACCUGAAGAAAAAAGCACCGGCUAACUACGUGCCAACAGCCGCGGUAAUCUGAGCGGGCUGGCAAGGC